AAAGUGGCUUAUGCCACUGCCAUGGAUUGGUUUAUUGCUGUUUGUUAUGCAUUU
rfam:Cavia porcellus supercont2_24 genomic scaffold, whole genome shotgun sequence.